rnacentral:lncRNA from 1 species
UUGCAGAAUACUAUUGUUUGACCUCCUAAAAUAUACAUGUUCCCACUGGCAAGAUUUAUUAAAGUGGAAGUGAAAACUCUGUAACAGAUCAUGUUAACGCUGCGUGGAACCCACUGAUGGUCUGCAGCAGUAGGACCGCUGGACACGAAUCUGCUCAUUCUUUCUCUGCUCAAGUGUGGGGCUAACCAACUACAUUUAAUCCACAUUCGAAGAGGACUGCUUUGAAUGUCAUCCAUCAGAAUCCAUCUCAAUGUCAACACUUCCUCUCAAGAGAAAGUAACAUGUUAAGACAAAUGGCCAAGAUAUACUGCAGUAACUCACCACAACCUGGGAAACCAUUGUGUCACUGCAGCACCUAACCACCUCAGCUCCUUGGUCUCCCAGCAUUUUGCCCUCCACCUGCACUGCAUCUCAUUUUACUAUGUGGAUGGCUUAUAGCCUCCAA